GAAAAUUGUCCUUGGAAAAUUUCGCCACAGGGCGGCGCCAAAAAACGACGACAUUGUCUAUCUCCUAUUUGGCCAAUGUUCUGAAAACGCGUUUUAGGCUAUAACUCCCACACCGAAGCUCCCACAGUCAAAACCUUUAUAUCCACAGGUUCAGGGUAGCGUUUUGAACACAUGCUUCGCGUUGUGCCGGCGAAACGCACAUUUCUUGUCGCGUUGUGCCGGCGAAAUGCACACUUCUUGGACCCCUGCAUAACUGCUUGCAGUUCUAGUUAUUAUACUUCCCGCGCUAAAAGUGGGCCCACAGCCCAAACCGUAAAUGGUGCCGACACGCCAAUUGCAUGACUAGAUCCAGGUCCGGCACCGCUACUCAGAUAACAAAAUCCAGACACGCCGGCCACUAGGUGGCGCUAUACCAAGGAAAGACGCGUUUGGGGCUAUAACUCCCACACCGAACCUCCCAUAUUCAAAACCUUGUACACACAUAUUCACUGGAGUCUGCUGCAUCUUUUGGCAUAGGCCACGCCCAUUUGCGUCUAGAAUUUUUUUUUCGCAAAAUCGCGAAAACCGCAAAACUGUUUUUUCCCUACUCCUCCCACAUUUCUUGACCAAUCGACACCAAACUUUGCACACGACAUCUUCAGACGCACACG
ensembl:lncRNA